UACGUAGGGUGCAAGCGUUAUCCGGAAUUAUUGGGCGUAAAGAGCUCGUAGGCGGUUUGUCGCGUCUGCUGUGAAAACUGGAGGCUCAACCUCCAGCCUGCAGUGGGUACGGGCAGGCUAGAGUGUGGUAGGGGAGAUCGGAAUUCCUGGUGUAGCGGUGAAAUGCGCAGAUAUCAGGAGGAACACCGGUGGCGAAGGCGGAUCUCUGGGCCAUUACUGACGCUGAGGAGCGAAAGCGUGGGGAGCAAACAGG
rnacentral:rRNA from 1 species